rnacentral:rRNA from 1 species
UUUGACCUACGGGACGCAGCAGUGAGGAAUAUUGGUCAAUGGGAGAGAUCCUGAACCAGCCAAGCCGCGUGAGGGAAGACGGCCCUAUGGGUUGUAAACCUCUUUUGUCGGAGAACAAAACCCGGGACGUGUCCCGGACUGCGUGUAUCCGAAGAAAAAGCAUCAGCUAACUCCGUGCCAGCAGCCGCGGUAAUACGGAGGAUGCGAGCGUUAUCCGGAUUUAUUGGGUUUAAAGGGUGCGUAGGCGGUCUGUUAAGUCAGCGGUAAAAUUGCGGGGCUCAACCCCGUCGAGCCGUUGAACCUGG